rnacentral:snoRNA from 1 species
UGGUCAUUACCAAGGCUUUUAGAAUGCAGUUUUCUCAUAUGCUUGGGACAUGACCAUAUAAAAUUUCCCACUAGGUUUUCUAAUGCUGCUUUGUUAGCAAUCAGCCUAUUGGGGAACAAUA